rnacentral:snoRNA from 1 species
AUCCUUCAGCUUCCUUUAUCAUCAGAUCUAAACACUAGUCUGAGUAGUUACAAAAGGAGAAAAAGUAACAUUGAAACUGACUUCAAUGCUUUUGUAGCACAUGGACUAGUUUCAAACAUGU